rnacentral:rRNA from 1 species
UGAGUAACACGUAAGUAAUCUACCUUCGGAUGGGGAAUAACAGUCGGAAACGACUGCUAAUACCGCAUAAUGCAGCGGCACCUAAUGGUGACAGUUGUUAAAGUAUUUAUACGUCUGGAGAGGAGCUUGCGGCAGAUUAGCUAGUUGGUAAGGUAACGGCUUACCAAGGCUACGAUCUGUAACCGGUCUUAGAGGACGGUCGGUCACACUGACACUGAAUAACGGGUCAG